ACAAGCGGUGGAGCAUGUGGUUUAAUUCGAUGCAACGCGAAGAACCUUACCUAGGCUUGACAUCCCUGGAAUUUUGUGGAAACACAAAGUGCCUUUCGGGGAACCAGGAGACAGGUGCUGCAUGGUUGUCGUCAGCUCGUGUCGUGAGAUGUUGGGUUAAGUCCCGCAACGAGCGCAACCCUCGACCUUAGUUGCCAGUAUUCAGUUGGGCACUCUAAGGUGACUGCCGGCUAAAAGUCGGAGGAAGGUGGGGAUGACGUCAAAUCAUCAUGCCCCUUAUGACCUGGGCUACACACGUGCUACAAUGGGCGGUACAAAGGGUCGCGAACCCGCGAGGGGGAGCCAAUCCCAAAAAGCCGCUCUCAGUUCGGAUUGCAGGCUGCAACUCGCCUGCAUGAAGCCGGAAUCGCUAGUAAUCGCGCAUCAGCAUGGCGCGGUCGAAUACGUUCCCGGGCCUU
rnacentral:rRNA from 1 species